CCUACGGGCGGCAGCAGUCGAGAAUCAUUCACAAUGGGGGAAACCCUGAUGGUGCGACGCCGCGUGGGGGAAUGAAGGUCUUCGGAUUGUAAACCCCUGUCAUGUGGGAGCAAAUUAAAAAGAUAGUACCACAAGAGGAAGAGACGGCUAACUCUGUGCCAGCAGCCGCGGUAAUACAGAGGUCUCAAUCGUUGUUCGGAAUCACUGGGCGUAAAGCGUGCGUAGGCUGUGUCGUAAGUCGUGUGUGAAAGGCGCGGGCUCAACCCGCGGACGGCACAUGAUACUGCGAGACUAGAGUAAUGGAGGGGGAACCGGAAUUCUCGGUGUAGCAGUGAAAUGCGUAGAUAUCGAGAGGAACACUCGUGGCGAAGGCGGGUUACUGGACAUUAACUGACGCUGAGGCACGAAGGCCAGGGGAGCGAAAGGGAUUAGAUACCCGAGUAGUC
rnacentral:rRNA from 1 species